AUAUGUGAGAAAACAAAUGAUGGCCAGCUUCAGUUGUCCUCAUCCUGGCCAAGGAGCUCCUACAAAAGUUUUGUUAGACUUCAUCAACUCUGGAACAGUCCCACAGGACUCAGCACACCCCAGAAGACCCUUCUUCUGGGCUCCGGAAGAAGAUAAAUGCCCAGCUGCCUUCUGGGCAUUUCUUCUUGGAUGCCUCAGAGGGCUUUUGGAGUUCCGGAACUCAGAACUUGGCAUUGUGGAACUUUGGUAUACUAGUUCCCAAUAAAAUUUGCUUCGGGAACCCCUGGCAGAAAGAUGAGUUGAAGACUAUGUUACGAAUUUCAGCAAAAGUCAGAAACAAAGGUCCAACAACGUUUGAGAGGCAAGACGUGGUCCAGAAGGGAUGUCGGAGUCGGCUAAAUCGGGCUCAAAUCCUGACCCUGGAUGAGACAGAAAAGAACCCUGUGUACUGCUGGCCUCUUUAGUUCCCUGAUCGCUCGUCCCAUCUGACCAGGAUUACUCACUGUGGGGACAAGCUGUUGUGUUGUGAGUAACCCCAUAGGGAAGCCCACCUGGUGAGGAAGAGAGACCCUGAGACAGAAACACCCAACCAAGCUGCCUCCAGAAUCCUGAGCCUCAGAAACCUCGUGAGAUAUAUUCAUUGUUUUGUGUUACUAACUUUUGGGGUAAUUUGUUAUGUAGUGAUAUCUGUUUCAAGGGGCUG